rnacentral:rRNA from 1 species
CCUACGGGAGGCAGCAGUGAGGAAUAUUGGUCAAUGGACGAGAGUCUGAACCAGCCAAGUAGCGUGAAGGAUGACUGCCCUAUGGGUUGUAAACUUCUUUUAUAUGGGAAUAAAACGUUCCACGUGUGGGAUUUUGUAUGUACCAUAUGAAUAAGGAUCGGCUAACUCCGUGCCAGCAGCCGCGGUAAUACGGAGGAGCCGAGCGUUAUCCGGAUUUAUUGGGUUUAAAGGGAGCGUAGGUGGAUUGUUAAGUCAGUUGUGAAAGUUUGCGGCUCAAACGUAAAAUUGCAGUUGAAACUGGCAGUCUUGAGUACAGUAGAGGUGGGCGGAAUUCGUGGUGUAGCGGUGAAAUGCUUAGAUAUCACGAAGAACUCCGAUUGCGAAGGCAGUUCACUGGACUGCAACUGACACUGAGGCUCGAAAGUGUGGGUAUCAAACAGGAUUAGAUACCCGUGUAGUC